rnacentral:misc_RNA from 1 species
GAUGAAGAACGUAGCGAAAUGCGAUACUUGGUGUGAAUUGCAGAAUCCCGUGAACCAUCGAGUCUUUGAACGCAAGUUGCGCCUCAAGCCAUUAGGUUGAGGGCACGUCUGCCUGGGCGUCACAUAUCGUUGCCUGAUGCCAGUUUCCUCGUGAUGGGUGACUGUGCAGGGCGAAUGAUGGCUUCCCGUGAGCGUUGUUGCCUCAUGGUUGGUUGAAAAUUGAGUCCUUGGUAGGGAGCGCCGUGAUAGAUGGUGGUUGAGUGACGAACGAGACCCAAUCAUGUGAGACCCCUACCGAAUUUGGCCUUCAUGACCCACAUGCGUCUUUGGAACGCUCAUGACGAGACCUCAGGUCAGGCGGGGCUACCCGCUGAGUUUAAGCAUAUCAAUAAGCGGAGGA